rnacentral:snRNA from 1 species
AGAUGUGAGGGCGAUCUCAUUGAUCGCCAGGGUCGAUUUGGGCUGAUCGGGCUGGCUAAGCGGUGUCCCCUUCCUCCCUCACUGCUCCAUGUGCAUUUCUGUCCCUCAGGAAGAGGACAACCUUCCCUGAUAGAGAAGGACCGUUUCGGCUAAGGGUAUACAGGUAGCUGUGCUUUGCUCUAGAACCUCCAAGCAAGCACUCAUAGUCCAUUUGUAGGAGAAUGUAGGCUAGUCAAGCUUCCAAGACUCCAGACACAUCCAAAGGAGGCACUGCAUGUGACAGUCUGCCUUUCUUU